rnacentral:rRNA from 1 species
UACGAAGGGGGCUAGCGUUGCUCGGAAUGACUGGGCGUAAAGGGCGCGUAGGCGGAUGGCACAGUCAGAUGUGAAAUUCCCGGGCUUAACCUGGGGGCUGCAUUUGAUACGUGUUGUCUUGAGUUCGGAAGAGGGUCGUGGAAUUCCCAGUGUAGAGGUGAAAUUCGUAGAUAUUGGGAAGAACACCGGUGGCGAAGGCGGCGACCUGGUCCGACACUGACGCUGAGGCGCGAAAGCUAGGGGAGCAAACAGG